rnacentral:lncRNA from 1 species
AUAAUGCAAGAAGAUACAUUUCAAAUUCAUCAGCUCAUACCCCAUAAAGUUGGUGACAAUAGGUUCGUAACUAGAGGAGUAUUAACACUUGCUCUGCAUUUAUUUGAAAUAUAAAUUAAACAUAAAGACUAUACAAAAUGCUCUUUUUGUUCUUUUCUGCCUUUCCUUCUCAUAAUAUCUCAUUUCCAAUUUACAACGUAGCAACUCUUGUUGUCUUGAUGUCCUUUAGAUAAGUGCAGCCCAAAUGCUCCAACCUGUAAAUAUAUCAACAGAUUAUAAAUAGUCCAUAUUUUGUCAACCUACUCUUGAUGCACAAGCAUGUAAAGAAUACACAGAUACAUGCAAAAAUUAACUUGUGCGACGACUGAAUUUUUUUAGGAAGUUGGUGUAAUAAUGCAGGCCCCUCAACCCUUCCCCACAUCGCCAUGACAAAAAGAAGUAUGGAAAAGAAAAAUCAAAAUUGAGAAAAGUACUGGUAUACUCCUGCCGAUCUGUUUGUUUCUAAAGUACUUGGUUUGACUAAAAUCAGAGAAUCACUAGCCCAAGAUCUGACAAAUAAAAUUCUUAGUCUGCAAAAGUUGAUGUAACAGUCAUACUCAUUCUAGAAAAAGUAUGACAUACAUUCUCUGAAUUGUUUCGUCCUGCUAAUUUCAUUCAUAUUUCUAGAACAAAUACAUAUAUAGGAAUAUUUGUAAUCACCAAGUAGCUAUUCUACUGCUCUAUAGUCUUGUCAACACGAUGAUUACGUACGGUCUGAUGGUUUCCUUGUUAAUAUGAAGUUAAAUCCCGAAAUAUGUGCAUUUGGCGUUGCAUCAGGCAAGUUUUUGGGUUUUCUUGUUUCUAACCGUGGAAUUGAAGUAAAUCCUGCACAGAUUAAAGCCAUUCAGGAAAUCCCUGAUAUACUUUCAAACAAGAAAGAAGUUCAAAGAUUAGCAGGGAGAAUUGCGGCCUUGGGAAGAUUCAUCUCUAAAUCAUCAGAGAAGUGUUUUAAAUUCUUCUCAGCCCUUAAGAAGCAGGAUCAUUUUGAAUGGAAUGAGAAAUGUCAACAAGCACUUAGGAAUUUGAAAACGUACUUAUCAAAUCCACCUUUGUUGGCAAAACCAAAGGCUGGGGAAAAGCUACUCCUCUACCUUGCUGUUUCGGAAGUGGCGGUAAG